rnacentral:lncRNA from 1 species
GGCCCCCCGCCCGCCCGCCUGCGGGGUCUUCGUCCCCGGCCGUCGCCUUCGUCCCCCGUUGGGGCGGCCUCGUCCCCACCCGUGGGCUUCGUCCUUACCGCGCGUCUUCAUCCCCGCCCGUUGUCUUCAUCGCCCUUCGUUGCGCCUCCAUCCCGCGCCGCUGUCUCCGUCCCUGUCCGUUGUCUUCAUCCCAGUUUGUUGCGUCCUCGUCCCUACCCGUUGUCUUCGUCCUCAACCGUUGUCUUCAUCCUCGUCUGUUGUCUUCCUCCCCAUUUGGUGCGCCUUCAUCCCCAACCAUAGUCUUCAUCCCUACCGGUCUUCUUCAACCCUAACCGUUGUCUUCGUUCCCCUCCGUUGUCUUCGUCCCCCUCCAUUGUCUUCGUCCCCAUCCAUAGUCUUCAUCCCUACUGGUCUUCUUCAACCCCAACCGUAGCCUUCAACCCAACCCUUGUCUUCAUCCCCAUUUGCUGCGUCUUCAUCGCUCCCCGUUGUCUUCAUCCCGAUCCGCAGUCUUCAUCCCUACCGGUCGGCUUCAUCCCCAACCGUUGUCUUCAUCCCUACCCACUGUCUUCAUCCCCACUGGUCUUCUUCAUCCCCAGCCAUUGUCUUCAUCGCUCCCCGUUGUCUUCAUCCCAAUCCGUAGUCUUCAUCCCUACCGGUCGUCUUCAUCCCCGCCCGCUGUCUUCAUCCCCAUUUGUUGCGUCUUCAUCCCCAACCACUGUCUUCGUCCCCACCCGUUGUCUUCAUCCCCACCCGUUGUCUUCAUCCCCAUCCAUAGCCUUCAUCCCCACUGGUCUUCCUCACCCCCCACCCGCUGCCUUCACCCUCACCCACCGUCUUCACCCCCGUUCCCCGCGUCCCGCUCCCGCUCCCCGCCAUGCGCCAGCCGCAGCCGGCGCGGGACGAGCUCCCGGAGGACUUCUACAUCCCGAUGGCGCUGGACGCGCCCAACCUGACGGCGCUCAGCCCCUUCCUGGUGCCGCAGACCCACCUGGGCAGCCCGGGGGUCUUCCGGGGGAUGUCGGUGUUCAUGUUCGUGCUGAUCGCGCUGGGGGUGCCCAUCAACAGCCUCACCAUCUUCUGCACCGCCAAGUACAAGAAGCUGCGCUCGCACCUCAACUACAUCCUGGUCAACCUGGCGGUCUCCAACCUCCUCGUCAUCUGCGUCGGCUCCACCACCGCCUUCUACAGCUUCUCCCAGAUGUACUUCGCCCUGGGGCCCACCGCCUGCAAGAUCGAGGGCUUCGCCGCCACCCUGGGAGGCAUGGUGAGCCUGUGGUCGCUGGCGGUGGUGGCCUUCGAGCGCUUCCUGGUGAUCUGCAAGCCCCUGGGCAACUUCACCUUCCGGGGCAGCCACGCGGUGCUGGGCUGCGCGGCCACCUGGGUGCUGGGGCUGGUGGCCUCAGCGCCGCCGCUCUUCGGCUGGAGCAGGUGGGGGCCGGCCGGGGGGG